GCUCUCCGCCCGCCGGAGCCGCCACUGCUGCCGCGAGGUCCCGUCGGGGGUGCGCCGGCCCGGAGGCAGGGGCGUCCGGCACGAUUCCGGUCUGGUCACGUUGGAGACUGGUCAUUUUCUAGAGGGAAAGGAGAAGCCCAUGAAAGGAUGGUGAAUUCUCUUUGAGUUUCAGUUGCCAGAAUAAAAGGUAAUUAUUGAUGGUUUUAGAAUGCUUGCAGGACCUUGGGGAGGUAAAGUCCAAUAGCAGCAAAUUAGCAAAAGAGUGCUGUGGGUUAGUGCCUAGCACUGCUCUGAUUUAGGUGUUCGCCUUUAAAAUUAUUCUUAAAGAAACCUUUUCAGCUAGGUAUGCCUGAGAAUGAAGGUGUUCCCUACCUAAGCCUCCUCUUUUUCUUCCUUCCCUCCUUCCCUCCUUCCCUCCUUCCCUCCUUCCCUCCUUCCCUCCUUCCUUCCUUCCUUCCCUCCCUCCUUUCUUUCCUUGCAGUAGUACUGGGGCUCAAACCUUGAAUGUUACGCAAAUGAUCUACCAUCCGUAGCCUCCCUGUGCAUCCCCAGGACUAUCUUCCGUGCCUGUUUUGUCGUUCCCAGAUGUAGAGAGAGGAUGUGAGAAUCUCUGAGAUAUAAGAAUGAUCAAGGGUAGGGCCAUGUUUUAAUCACACAGAAUGUCUUUUCUUGAGUUUGGGGGAUGGAACCUAGGGCCUCUGCAUGCCAGGGAAGCCUUCUACCACUGGUUACACCCCCAGCCCUAAUCGCUAACGGCCAGGUUCCAGGUUCUGGCUCAUCCACGUGACAACCGAUGGCCCCACCUUGACACCACCCCGUCUUUCUCUGUCUGGGCCUCAGGAGCUCUAGGAGUUAGCAGACACUGACCACACCUUCUUGUAAUUUAUUUGCUCCCCUCUCCCAGCCCCUAACUGCAACCUCAGUUGCCUUUUCUCAGCCAGAAUUCCUUCCCGACACCCUUGGUCACUCUGUUCCCGCGAAGUUCAGCUCAGAUUCGCCCUCAGCUCACUCACUGUGUCCCCAAGACAAUCCUCCCAAACCCGUUCACGGUGUUGUGUUCUUAGGGCUCAUCACGACCCUUGCUCUCCCGUUCUCAAAGGAUCGAGUUAAUUUUCCCCUUUUUCCUAUUGUUCUGCCUAAUGAUUGGAUUUAUGGUGAGAGAAACUCAUGUUUCAGUUCAUUUUAGUCCACUUCAUAGUCACAUCAGCCCUGGGCAGUGGGUAGAGGAGGUACAGGAGCAGACUGGAGUCCAGCACAGGGAGAGUCUUUGAAACACUGGACAUCUAAGGGACAGGGUUCGAGGCCCCACGCAGGUGGCCAGGAGUAGCAGCACAAGGGGCAAGGUGACCAGAGUCUGUCUGAGCCGUGUGUGUUGCCAGGCUGAGAGGGAGACCGUACGUGUGGGUUGAUUCUAACCCUGACGGAGGGUCUUCACAUGGCCUUUGAGCCCACUGCUCAGCUGCCCUUGGCCCACCGGUGUCUGCUCCUGCAGCCACGCUUCCCUGUGCACCGUUCCUCAGGGCAGCGGGCAGCCAUUAAACGGAAGAGGAAGCACUGAGUUUCUGGAGAAUGUCAGUCCUGAGACCAACCCUGGACAUAAUGCUUAAUCCUAUGAUGGCACGGUUGAGUUUUAACAGAGUUUUUAUUUAUGUGUUUAUUUAUUUAUUUUGAGACAGGAUCCUGCUCUGUAGUCCAAGCUGGACCCAAACUCAUGACCCUUCUGUCUCAGCCUCCCAAGUGCUGGGAUUAAAGGAGGUUACUACCCUUCUCUAAACAGAAUUUUCAGACUCUUUUUCCUCACCUUUAAUUUCCUUCUUCCUCAUAAAUGCAACAUCACUGUGUCCUUGCCUUAUGUUUUGCUUUGGUUCCUUUCAUUCAGGGAGUGUGGAAAGUCAUCCAUGGUCACGGGAGCCAGCCCACGAAGGAGCAGGUUGCCUUCCCUUCUGUCUGUAGUUCUCGCCCAGCGCUGCCCGGUGUGGUGUCUGGUGCAGUGUGGGUGUGCAAUGUACACCCCCUAAAGGAGUGCACCAAGCCUCUCCCGACCUGGGCAAGGUCCUAGGGCACAGGACAGCCCCUCUUCCUGGGUGGCUUCUUCCGGUGCUCUCUGCUCGCCCGGCACCUGCCUGCCCUUGGGAUACAACACACAGGCGGGGCUCUCUCAGAAGGACUGAGGGGGACGCCACGUUGUCACUGUGUUGGAGGCUGGGUUAAGCCCGACCCUGGCGGUAAAAGGCAUGGAAGGGUCUUUCCAGGCUCCCAGGGACCUGAAGGGAAGCAGAGGGCAGGGGCAGUGGUGCUCAGGGCCCUCCCAGGAAGCCCUGGGGGCUGCGGUGAGUGGACAGGAAGGGCGGGUUCAGCUUGCUGAAGCGAGGGAGGUCGGGUCUGAGGGGAAGUGUGCAGUGGAUCACGUGGGGCACAGGCCGUCCCUGGGGGUGGGGGCUAGGGUGGCCCCUGAGGUUCCCUCCCUGACUCUUUAGGUGGCCUGCUCUGUGGAGCCCAGCGGAGUGCAGGGUGCACUGGUGAUUCCACAGAGGAGGAGCCUGGCCCAGAGCAUCCAGUCUGGCUCUGCGCACCUAGCAACCUCUGAGUAGCUGCCCCGAAGGGAGGUUUGCGUUUCUGAUUUCCCUUCCAGCUUCUCCCCGCCCCCCCGCACCCCAGCUGUGGUUGGCAUGCCUUUGCGUGUCAGGCUGCGUGGAUCCUCUCCAGCAUCAGCCUCUGUCGCCUCUCACCCUGUCAUCCCGUGCCCCUGCGCGUGCCCAGCCCACAUCCCAGCGUGCCCGCCCGCUCCUGCUCCGGCCCUGGCUCCCCAUCACAUCAGGGCUUCACCCCUCCCACUUUUACCCAUCUCGGCCCUCCCUGCGGUGCCCUUGCCAAUGCCACGCCUGUCUCUUGGCCUCUCCCUCCUCCGCCUGCAGGCCCCUGGCUUCCCUGGCAUCCCCCUCCUGCCUCUGACCCUGGGCAGGCUGUUGGUGCAGCCAGCCCAGAAGGGACCACGCAUGCAGCCCUCUCCCUCCCUCCCGCUCUGCACACUGGCCCAGAUCUGCACAGAAUCCGGUCACGUGCCUAACACAGCCCGAACUUUUCACAGUGUGGAUCUUUGGCCGUAGCCAGGGCUCAGGCCCACAGGCUCAGCGUGGCAUCCUGGGCCUGUCGGAUGCAGGUUCCCCCCUCCGACCGCUGGGUGCCGAGUUCCAGGCCUGUGUGAUUACUGCUGGCUCCGCCCCACGGCUCACACUCACUGUUCUUGUCCGGUACCUCUGCCUUCCUGAAGACCCCGAGGUGCCUCCUCCGAGCAGCAGCCGGGGGCAGGGCGGGUGGGAGGAGCACAGACUUGGAGGAGGUGGCCCUGAUCUCAGCAGAGAGGGCUGCGGCAGAGGUGGACUGACUCCCUGCCUUAGCCUCUAGCACAGAUGUUUACAAAGUGCUGGCUUUCUGCUCCUGGAAGCUCUUCCAAUCUGUCCUCAGUGGGUUUUUGCUUUAGGUCAUUGUUUUGCUGACAAAAUCUUCAAUAAAGAAGCCCCUUCUGUUGCAGAGGGCAAGAGAGCCUGUAGGUGGAAGCUCCUGAAUGCUGCUUCUGCAUACUCCAGGCUGUUUGAUGAGCAGGCAGGGUAACCCAGGGCCUGGCCUGCACCAGGCCGUGAUCCUCCCCAGCGCCACAAAGCAGAGCAAAACAAGCCACCCUCAGUGCACAGUGCUGCCCGCAGCCCUUUCGGGGACAGUCCCUCGGCUCAGCUCCAGCCUUCGGCCCAAGGUGCAGGCUCUCAAGAGGUUCUAGACUCCUUGUCAUCCAGAUCCAGCAGCAUGUGUCCUAGAAGGGAAGUACGGGACCUCUAGAGAUCUGAACCCACUUUGCUCGAGUGCUUCUUCACCCUAGACGGAGGGCACCUGGGAGGGUGACCCCCGAGGGGUCUUGCUUUGGCUUCUCCGAGGGGCAGUGGUGGAGUGGGAUGAACGUAGUGGGAGCAGGUGUGGCUGAGUGUGCGGUGUGGGCUGCAGGGCAGGGUGAGCAGCGGUGCUCCCUUCCCUCUACCUCUGAACCCAGGUGACAGGAGCACCUCCCCCUUGGAGUGGGGAAACUGCCAGUGGCUGCAGAACACAGCCGGAGAACAGGGCCCUCCGAUGCCUCUGCCCGUCAGGCCUGGCUGCAUGCUGGGGAGGGGAGUGUGCCUGUCGGUGGCAUCUGCAUUCCCAGGUGAGGGGCAACCUCCACUGAGGCCUGACCAGAAGAAACAGAACUGCAGACCCGGACCCUGGGGUCUGGGGUCAACAUGGGGAGUGGCUCAACACAGUUCCAGCCCUGGAGUUGUUUACAAUAUGUUAUUUGAAAUUUUAACACGAUCAGAGUUAAAUCACGACUAUUAAACACUCCCUUGAUCCAGGUACUUUGUGUCCCUUUAUUUUGAGAUGUGCCUAGGCUCACCGUGUCUGGUAGGGGGGUAGACGGGGUUUGCUCCCCUGGGAAGAGCUGCCUGUUACUAGGGCUGGUGUCAGUAGAAGCGUCCAGGGUCACAAGUGUGCUCCCGUGGGAACAGGGCACUGGAAAUCUGCUGCACCUGGCAAGACGGGCACUACAGCCCAGGACAGUGCCAGCUGAAAUGCAAUCCUCUGUGUGGCCGAGAGCUGCUGUCAAAAACAGAAAAGCUGGCUCUGAUUCUCUGAAUCCAAAUCCAGCCCAGUGAUCCCAGAGCCAGCUGCUCGGGCCCCUAAGGUGAGGUCUCAGGGCCCAGGCUGACCUCUUGUGUCCUCAUGGAGCCUACCAAGCCCUUGUGGUUCACUCGUUAACUUUGAUGAGAGGAAAUCUCUGCAAAAUCCUGUGUACGGUCCCAGAGACAUAUUUUAUCAUCAUGAUAAAGUAUCGUGUCGAUGUAAUCACAAGGCUUCCUAAGCUGUCUUCAUCAAGGGUAAGACAACCAGCAGUUAGCAGGUACCUGUAUUUAGCAAGUUAAACAGUCUUUGGUCUUGGGGCAGGGGAGAAAAUUCAAUGGUAGAGCAUGUACUGAGCAUGCAUAAGGCCUGAGUUCAGUGCUCAGCAAAAAUAGAAGUCUUCACUCUCAAGGAAUUUAUAUCACAUGCAUGUGUCUGCACGUGCCCCUCACCACAUUCCUGUUCUUUGAGCUUAAAAACAGAAGGAUGAAUGAUCAUAUUCAUGGUAUGGCUGAAAAAUACAGUGAAUGUUUAAUUUUUUUAUAAGUUAUUAUAUGAAAGACAUUUCCAUGACUCCCCCUGGUUUCAAACAUACUUAUCUUCUUACCUCUUUCUGAAGCAGUUGUGGAAGUCCUCUUCCGUGAAAGUCUUCAGCUGCACUGUCUUGGCUGCCUGGAUGUCCUUAAUUAACGCAAAACAUUUUCCUUUCAUGGUCAUUUUGACUUUGUUGGAGAGCCAGAAGUUGUAUGGUGCCGAUCCAAUGAAUAACAUAGGUGAGGACACACUGUAAUGAUUUUAUGAGCCUGCUUUUUUGUUGGAUGGCACCCCACAGCAGCAGUCAUUGUAUUUUUGAUCAUACCUUGUAAAGACACUCACAAAAGAGGACUUCUAGAACUCCUUCGAGAAGUGACAAGAAUGAUGGAAUGAGUGUGUUCAAAGCAAUUCGUGUGAGGGCUUAAUGGCAAUGUGUCUUUUACUGUAAUGAAUGUUAGAACAUUCACCAUAUUUGUUGAUCACACUGUGUAUGUUUAAGUGACACAAACACAGCAGCAGGACAUGGGUGACUACUUUACUACAACUGACAAGUCUUUGGUAUAACAAACCCCUUGGACCAAGGGGCUAAACGCCCACUAGAAUGGAGGAAGGGGCCUGAAUGUUUCAUUGGAAGGUGGAUGCCCAUGAGAAAAAUCACUACAACUUGAACAGCUGAGGGUAAGGAGAUAGGAUGGUUUGACGGGCCGGAAAUGGCAGCUUGCUGUGGUGGGGCUGGUUGGAGAGCUAUGUGGCCCUGGAGGUGCGAGAGGCCUGCUGUGUGUGGGAGUGACUCCUAGCAGAUGGGAGGGCUGGUUUCUGGGGAUCAUAGUCUUCCAAAGUCAGAAUCGGGGUCAUGCAUGUGACCUGGGCUCUUUGGCCUGAUUGCUACAAAAAGGCAUGUGGUAGAGAGCAUGAUCCUCACCCUCCCCAAAGACAUCCAUGUCCUAACCCACAAAAACUGGAUGUAUUAGGUUACUCGGCAAGAAGCGGUUAAGGUUGCUCAUCCCAUGUCCUUGACAUGGGAGGACCAUCCUGGGUUUUCCACUGGGACCAGUGCAAUCAGUCAGAGUGCUACAGGAAAAUGAAGAAGACGGUCAGGAGAGCGCGGGAUGGAUGUGAUGCCAGAGUCUGUGGCCACUGCUGCCUGGAAGUUGCAUGAGCCGAGGAGUGCAGGAGGCCCCUGGAACCGGACAGGGCAAGAGAAUGGAUUCUUCCCUGGAGGUCCAAGAGAAAUGUGAUCUUGCCAGCACCUUUAUUUUUAGUCCAGCAAGACCCAUUUCAGACUUAAAUUUUGAGAACUAUCAUCAUUGUAUGUUGUUUUAAGCCAAGAAAUGUGUAGUGAUUCGUUCCAGCAAGCCAUAGUAAACAAUGCAAUGUGGAAAUCUGUCUCUAUUUUGGAAACACAAAACCCUCUUAAUUAUUUACAUAAUGCAAUUUGGAAAUUUAAGGAAUGUAAAUAAGUCAAGGGUGAAUCUUGUCAAAAUUAAUUCAGGUUUUUCUGAGUUAAUUUAUUUUGCCAGAAUUGGGGCAGGAACACUGUUUCUCCACCUUUAUAUCUUCACUGCCUAGAUCAGUGCCUGACUCAUUCAGCUUCAGAUGAAUGAAUCUCUCUUAACUAAAUGCAUGAAAAAACAAAAGAAUCUACUUUUCAAAGAAAUUCAUUUUAUGCAAGAAUGUGUCCUUAUUAUUAGAAAUGUUGAAGUCAGGCCUUUGUAAACAACUAAUAACAUAUUUCGCGUUUUCCUUCAGAGAAGAGAGUCUUGGUGGGAAGCCUAAGUUGGAUUAAGAAAAAGUCAUUGUCACAGGUCGAGCAACUCUAAUCUGAAAAGUAAGAUCCCAGGUGCUCCACAAUCUGAACUUUCUGAACAUCAGCACAGUACCGCAUGAGGUGAAUUCUACACCUGGCCUCAUGAGCUGAUGGGUCAGAGGCAAAACACAGACACGUUGGAAGCGCUGUGUACAGUUACCUUCAGGCUGUGCACAUCUGGGUGUGUCAAGCAUAAAAUGAAUUUGGGGUCCCCUCCCCAGGAUAUGUUGUAAUAUAUGUGCAAAUACAAAAAAUCUGAAGAAAUUAAAAAUCUGAAAUAGUUCAGAACAUUGCAGAUAAAGGGAUAUGUGAUGAUUAAUCAUAAUUACCGAGUUGAUUGGAAAGGGAGAUACCUAGGACAUUAGGGAAGCACCCUUGGGGUGUGUCUGUGAGGGUGGUUCCAGAGAUGACUGGCAUGUAGGGCAGCAAAUUGAUGGGAGAUACCUGCCAGUGAAUGUUGGGCUCCAUCCAAUAGGGUGGGACCCCGACGGAGCAGAGGGUGGAAGCCCACAGCAGGCGCUGGCUCUCCGCUCCUCCGCUCCCAGCUGCCCUGAGGGGAGCAGCUCUGCCCUGCCAGUGAUAUUCUGCCUCACCACAGGCCCUGGAAACUGGAGCCAGCCAACCAGGGACUGAAACCUCUAGGACCAGGCGUGAAAGAAAGCCUCUCCCAGGUGUUUUGGUCACAGCAGUGAAAAGCCAACACAGGACACUCAACCCAGACUUCCAGGAGGUCUAAGAACUCCUCAGUGUCUCCACAUGGUUGAAGUAUUAAUGGGUCCUUUGCUUGCUUAAUAAAAGUGCUACAAUAUGUAGCACAUUGGAACCUCAAAUUGAUGGAAAAAAGG
ensembl:lncRNA